UACGGGGGGGGCAAGCGUUGUUCGGAAUUACUGGGCGUAAAGGGUUCGUAGGUGGCCUGCUAAGUCGGACGUGAAAUCCCUCGGCUCAACCGGGGAACUGCGUCCGAUACUGGUGGGCUCGAGUGCAGGAGAGGAACGCGGAAUUCCAGGUGUAGCGGUGAAAUGCGUAGAUAUCAUUUGGAACGCCAAUAGUGAAAACAGGUAGCUGGGGCUGUGCUGACACUGAGACACGAAAGCCAGGGGGGCAAACGGG
rnacentral:rRNA from 1 species